rnacentral:rRNA from 1 species
CCUACGGGAGUCUGCAGUGGGGGAUAUUGCACAAUGGGGGGAACCCUGAUGCAGCGACGCCGCGUGGGUGAAGAAGCGCCUCGGCGCGUAAAGCCCUGUCAGCAGGGAAGAAAAUGACGGUACCUGAAGAAGAAGCCCCGGCUAACUACGUGCCAGCAGCCGCGGUAAUACGUAGGGGGCAAGCGUUAUCCGGAUUUACUGGGUGUAAAGGGGGCGCAGACGGCGAUGCAAGCCAGGAGUGAAAGCCCGGGGCCCAACCCCGGGGAUGGUCUUGGAACCGCGUGGAGGGAGUGCAGGAGGGGCAGGCGGAAGUGCUGGGGUAGCGGUGAAAUGCGUAGAUAUCAGGAGGAACAGCGGUGGGGAAGGCGGCCUGCUGGACUGCAACUGACGUUGAGGCCCGAAAGCGUGGGGAGCAAACAGGAUUAGAUACCCUAGUAGUC